rnacentral:rRNA from 1 species
AGAGUUUGAUCCUGGCUCAGGACGAACGCUGGCGGCGUGCUUAACACAUGCAAGUCGAACGAUGAACCACUUCGGUGGGGAUUAGUGGCGAACGGGUGAGUAACACGUGGGCAAUCUGCCCUUCACUCUGGGACAAGCCCUGGAAACGGGGUCUAAUACCGGAUAUCACUGCCACUCGCAUGGGUGGUGGUUGAAAGCUCCGGCGGUGAAGGAUGAGCCCGCGGCCUAUCAGCUUGUUGGUGAGGUAAUGGCUCACCAAGGCGACGACGGGUAGCCGGCCUGAGAGGGCGACCGGCCACACUGGGACUGAGACACGGCCCAGACUCCUACGGGAGGCAGCAGUGGGGAAUAUUGCACAAUGGGCGAAAGCCUGAUGCAGCGACGCCGCGUGAGGGAUGACGGCCUUCGGGUUGUAAACCUCUUUCAGCAGGGAAGAAGCGAAAGUGACGGUACCUGCAGAAGAAGCGCCGGCUAACUACGUGCCAGCAGCCGCGGUAAUAC